rnacentral:rRNA from 1 species
AUAAAUACAUACACGGCACAAAGUGGAUGCCUUGACUCGAAUAUCCGAUGAAGGACGCGCAAGACUGCGAUAAGCCUGGGUAAGUUGUCACGAAACGUUACAGCCCAGGAUUUCCGAAUGGGGGAACCCUAUCCAUCAAGAUGGAUAACCUGAUUAGGAGGACACCAGCCGAAUUGAAAUAUCUUAGUAAGCUGGGAAAAGAAAUCAACCGAGAUUCCGAAAGUAGUGACGAGCGAAAUUGGAACAGCCCAAACCUGUACGGUGCCAAGGAUGAGCCCGUUGCCGUACGGGGGUUACACGACAUAUCACCGCAAAGCUCAUAUAGCGAUACUGAUAUAUAAUUACAGAAAAAUUACCUGGAAAGGUAGGCCAAAGAGGGUAAUAGCCCCGUAUUCGAAAUAAUCUGUAUAUUCGGUACGAUAUGCUCGUAAGUAGUAUCGGACACGUGAAAUCCGGUAUGAAGUUAGGUCGACCACGAUCUAAGGCUAAAGAGUAUUCGAGAUCGAUAGUGAACAAGUACUGUGAAGGAAAGGUGAAAAGAACCCCGGGAGGGGAGUGAAAUAGAUCCUGAAACUUUGUGCUUACAAAGAGUCGGAGCGCUUCGGCGUGACGGCGUGCCUUUUGGAGAAGGAACCAACGACUUACGUAUACGUGGCAAGGUUAAGACAGAUAUAGUCGGAGCCGAAGGGAAACCAAGUCUGAAUAGGGCGAUUUUAGUCACGUAUAGUAAACCCGAAACCCGUGUGAGCUAUUCAUGGCCAGGCUGAAGGUGGGGUAACACCUACUGGAGGGCCGAACCAAUUGGAGCUGCAAGUCCACUGGAUGAGCUGUGAAUAGGAGUGAAAAGCUAAUCGAACCGGGAGAUAGCUGGCUCUCCGCGAAAUAUAUUUAGGUAUAGCGUAUAAUAGUAACCAAGAGGGGUAGGGCUCUGAUAAGACUAGCGGGUUUAUUCCAACUUAGCAAAUCUUGAUAAACUUCGAAUACUCUUGGCGGAAUAUUAUACAGUCGGACAGUGACGGAUAAGCGCCAUUGUCAAAAGGGAAACAGCCCAGAUUCCUAUCUAAGGUCCCCAAGUUAUAACUCAGUGGAAAAGGAUGUGCGAUUACUAAGACAGCCAGGAUGUUGGCUUAGAAGCAGCCACUCAUUCAAAGAGUGCGUAAUAGCUCACUGGUCGAGUGAUUGUGCGCCGAAAAUUCAGCGGGGCUUAAGUUAUACACCGAAGAUGGAAGAUUUAUACAUUAGUAUGGAUCGGUAGCGGAGCGUUCUGUAAGCCUGUGAAGCAGUUGGGUAACCACCUGUGGAGGUAUCAGAAGUGCAAAUGUUGGUAUGAGUAACGUAAUGGAGGUGAAAACCCUCCACACCGAAUACCCAAGGUUUCCUGUCCUACGUCAGUCGUGGCAGGGUUAGUCGGUCCUAAGGUGCACCCGAAAGGGGCAAGCCGAUGGAUAUCUGGUUAAUAUUCCAGAACUAUAUACAAGAGGUUAUUACCUAUGUGGGGACGCAUCGCGAAUAUCGGACACUCUCAUGGAUAUGAGUGAAGAGUAAUGCUUUUGGUUGUGUAGGCAAAUCCGCACAACAAUACAAGAGGGUUAUGAUUCCUUACCCAAUACUUCUUCGGAAGGGAUAAGUAAGGUCCUGUGAUAUGAAGGUGCCAAGAAAAGCCACUCUGGGACGAAUGUAUAUAACCGUACCGUAAUCGAACACUCGUGGGUGGAUGUGAGUACAUUAAGGUGGACGGGAUAACUGAGCUUAAGGAACUCUGCAAAACAGCGGUCGUAACUUCGGGAUAAGACCUGCCUCCUCAGCAUUUAUCUGAGAGGCCGCAGCUAACGAGUCCAGGCGACUGUUUACCAAAAACACAGCUCCGUGCUAAAUCGCAAGAUGAUGUAUACGGGGUGAUGCCUGUCCGGUGCCAGAAGAUCACGGGGAGGGGUGCAAGCUCUGAACCUAAGUCCUGGUGAACGACGGCCGUAACUAUAACGGUCCUAAGGUAGCGAAAUUCCUUGUCGGGUAAGUUCCG